GUGCCAGCCGCCGCGGUAAUACCGGCAGCCCGAGUGAUGGCCGAUAUUAUUGGGCCUAAAGCGUCCGUAGCUGGCCGCGCAAGUCUCCCGGGAAAUCCACCCGCCCAACGGGUGGGCGUCCGGUAGAAACUGCCCGGCUUGGAACCGGAAGGCUCAGAGAGUACGUCCGGGGUAGGAGUGAAAUCCCGUAAUCCCGGACGGACUACCGAUGGCGAAAGCACUCUGAGAAGACGGCUCCGACAGUGAGGGACGAAAGCUAGGGUCUCAAACCGGAUUAGAAACCCUGGUAGUCC
rnacentral:rRNA from 1 species